rnacentral:rRNA from 1 species
GACGAACGCUGGCGGCGUGCCUAAUACAUGCAAGUCGAGCGCAGGAAAUCGACGGAACCCUUCGGGGGGAAGUCGACGGAAUGAGCGGCGGACGGGUGAGUAACACGUAAAGAACCUGCCCUCAGGUCUGGGAUAACCACGAGAAAUCGGGGCUAAUACCGGAUGGGUCAUCGGACCGCAUGGUCCGAGGAUGAAAGGCGCUUCGGCGUCGCCUGGGGAUGGCUUUGCGGUGCAUUAGCUAGUUGGUGGGGUAAUGGCCCACCAAGGCGACGAUGCAUAGCCGACCUGAGAGGGUGAUCGGCCACACUGGGACUGAGACACGGCCCAGACUCCUACGGGAGGCAGCAGUAGGGAAUCUUCCACAAUGGACGAAAGUCUGAUGGAGCAACGCCACGUGAACGAUGAAGGCCUUCGGGUCGUAAAGUUCUGUUGUAAGGGAAGAACAAGUGCCGCAGGCAAUGGCGGCACCUUGACGGUACCUUGCGAGAAAGCCACGGCUAACUACGUGCCAGCAGCCGCCGUAA